rnacentral:rRNA from 1 species
GACGAACGCUGGCGGCGUGCUUAACACAUGCAAGUCGAACGGAAAGGCCCUGCUUUUGUGGGGUUCUCGAGUGGCGAACGGGUGAGUAACACGUGAGUAACCUGCCCUUGACUUUGGGAUAACUUCAGGAAACUGGUGCUAAUACCGUAUAGGAGCUCCUGCUGCAUGGUGUGGGUUGGAAAGUUUCGGCGGUUGGGGAUGGACUCGCGGCUUAUCAGCUUGUUGGUGGGGUAGUGGCUUACCAAGGCUUUGACGGGUAGCCGGCCUGAGAGGGUGACCGGCCACAAUGGGACUGAGAUACGGCCCAGACUCCAACGGGAGGCAGCAGUGGGGAAUAUUGCACAAUGGGAGGAAGCCUGAUGAAGCAACGCCGCGUGCGGGAUGACGGCCUUCGGGUUGUAAACAGCUUUAGCCUGUGACGAAGCGUGAGUGACGGUAAUGGGUAAAGAAGCACCGGCUAACUACGUG